UAAUCAUGUCUUGCUUGGUAGUCCCAAAACUGCAACAGUGACACUUGAGGACUGUCCAGAUCUGGACAUUAGAGAAACCAUCAGGCUUCUUGAGGGGGGAUCCACAAUGUCAGAUAAGGAUAAACAAAGUGUCCAGGACUUGGCCUAUGCGUGGGACCUCCCUUCCCUAACUGACAACAACAGGAGGUGGCUUUUUGAAAAGCUAUUGAUACACGCAGUACUUCUUCAGCGCAUCACAUGGCCUCGUGAGGAUGACAACGAUGAUGAGGACUGUUCAGUUGAAACCAAAUGCCGCAUGUCAGGGUAUCUACGACAGUUCAUAGCUAAUGCAACACCAACUGAAUUGACCAACCUGGUCAAAUUCUGGACCGGAUGGGAGGUCCUACCACUGAGUCUCUCUCUGGAAGUCGUCGAGGGAAGAUACCUCACAGCCUCCACCUGCUUUGAGACCUUGCGCAUCCUAGGGCAUUACAAGGACUGCACGUCUUUUAAACAUGACAUCCUGGCAUGUAUUUGCACUUGCCAUACAGGAUUUGGUCUUGUCUGAGUGACAUCUGGGCCUGUAUUUACACUUGCCAGACAAGAUUGUUCAAGUAAAAUGUAGAUAUUUUUAUCUUUGUUAGCUGUCAAGUGUUCAGAUUCACCUGACAGUAUGGAAUUGUUGUAAUUUGUAGAACUGUAACUUAAACUGUAACCCACAUAUUUCACACCAUGCCUUACUCUGGUUUGACACAUCUGAUGUUGAAAAUACAGUUUUUAAGAGGUGGAUUUACACUCAUUCCAUUUUCACAGUGCUACAUAGUUGAAAUUUAUUAAGAUCGUUUAAUAAAAUGUUGAUGUUUUUCUUAUUAGCAGUCAAGUGUUCAGAUUCAUCUGACAGUAUGGAGUUAUUGUAUUUGUAGAACUGAAACCCACAUUUUUCAAACCAUGUACUGGGGAGACACAGUUGACAUUUUUUAGUAUUUCAAAACAUCUCAAGCUCAGUUUUCAUAGAAAAAUGUGGCAUGUUACAUUACAUGCAGGUUAUGAUUGGCAGCUUAAUGUAUUCCUUGUAACAAUCUGCAGGAGUUUAAAGUGCACUUAACUGUACUUUUGACUGAUGGAACUGAAAGGAACGAAAGUCUGCAAAAACAUUAAAACCUCAACACAUAACUCAAAACUUAAGUCUAUCUGAUCAGUUCUUUUCAGAGAUCAAGAAAUUGCUCGCAAAACUGAACAGCGGCAAUGUAAAUCUCACUGCCAUUGGACUGGGAUGCAGCUCUUGGCUGAACUGCAGCUCUUAAAGCUGUCAGUUGUCCAUCGGUCAGUGGGCAUGCUGUGUGUGGAACGACGACGCUGAAGUGGACAUCAC